GAUGAACGCUGGCGGCGUGCCUAAUACAUGCAAGUCGAGCGAACGGACGAGAAGCUUGCUUCUCUGAUGUUAGCGGCGGACGGGUGAGUAACACGUGGAUAACCUACCUAUAAGACUGGGAUAACUUCGGGAAACCGGAGCUAAUACCGGAUAAUAUUUUGAACCGCAUGGUUCAAAAGUGAAAGACGGUCUUGCUGUCACUUAUAGAUGGAUCCGCGCUGCAUUAGCUAGUUGGUAAGGUAACGGCUUACCAAGGCAACGAUGCAUAGCCGACCUGAGAGGGUGAUCGGCCACACUGGAACUGAGACACGGUCCAGAUUCCUACGGGAGGCAGCAGUAGGGAAUCUUCCGCAAUGGGCGAAAGCCUGACGGAGCAACGCCGCGUGAGUGAUGAAGGUCUUCGGAUCGUAAAACUCUGUUAUUAGGGAAGAACAUAUGUGUAAGUAACUGUGCACAUCUUGACGGUACCUAAUCAGAAAGCCACGGCUAACUACGUGCCAGCAGCCGCGGUAAUACGUAGGUGGCAAGCGUUAUCCGGAAUUAUUGGGCGUAAAGCGCGCGUAGGCGGUUUUUUAAGUCUGAUGUGAAAGCCCACGGCUCAACCGUGGAGGGUCAUUGGAAACUGGAAAACUUGGGUGCAGAAGAGGAAAGUGGAAUUCCAUGUGUAGCGGUGAAAUGCGCAGAGAUAUGGAGGAACACCAGUGGCGAAGGCGACUUUCUGGUCUGUAACUGACGCUGAUGUGCGAAAGCGUGGGGAUCAAACAGGAUUAGAUACCCUGGUAGUCCACGCCGUAAACGAUGAGUGCUAAGUGUUAGGGGGUUUCCGCCCCUUAGUGCUGCAGCUAACGCAUUAAGCACUCCGCCUGGGGAGUACGACCGCAAGGUUGAAACUCAAAGGAAUUGACGGGGACCCGCACAAGCGGUGGAGCAUGUGGUUUAAUUCGAAGCAACGCAAAGAACCUUACCAAAUCUUGACAUCCUUUGACAACUCUAGAGAUAGAGCUUUCCCCUUCGGGGGACAAAGUGACAGGUGGUGCAUGGUUGUCGUCAGCUCGUGUCGUGAGAUGUUGGGUUAAGUCCCGCAACGAGCGCAACCCUUAAGCUUAGUUGCCAUCAUUAAGUUGGGCACUCUAAGUUGACUGCCGGUGACAAACCGGAGGAAGGUGGGGAUGACGUCAAAUCAUCAUGCCCCUUAUGAUUUGGGCUACACACGUGCUACAAUGGACAAUACAAAGGGCAGCGAAACCGUGAGGUCAAGCAAAUCCCAUAAAGUUGUUCUCAGUUCGGAUUGUAGUCUGCAACUCGACUACAUGAAGCUGGAAUCGCUAGUAAUCGUAGAUCAGCAUGCUACGGUGAAUACGUUCCCGGGUCU
rnacentral:rRNA from 1 species